CAGGAAUGGCAAAGCAAAGGCCCUGAGACUAGCUAUGGUCUCUGAGGAAGGGGAGAAAUAUCGGAUGCAUGCUAAGGAGGCAGCUCAAGUUUUUGGGAAUCAUAAUUUGCAUCAGAACUAUUACAUUAAUAUGUUUGUUGAGUUCUUGAAAAAUGGAGUUGCAAAAGGAUGAAGUAAUUACUCCAGUUCUUAGUUUGAGAGACAAAUAAUCAAGAACCUACUUCAUAACUCCACUGUGUGCUUGUGCAAAAUAUAAUAAAAAUAAUUAUUUGCAAAUAUAUCAAGCUAUUUUUUUUUUUUUUUUUUUUUUUU
rnacentral:misc_RNA from 1 species